rnacentral:rRNA from 1 species
CUACGGGAGGCUGCAGUGAGGAAUAUUGCACAAUGGAGGAAACUCUGAUGCAGCAACGCCGCGUGGAGGAUGACGCAUUUCGGUGUGUAAACUCCUUUUAUAUGUCAAGAAAAUGACGGUAGCAUAUGAAUAAGCUCCGGCUAACUCCGUGCCAGCAGCCGCGGUAAUACGGAGGGAGCAAGCGUUACUCGGAAUCACUGGGCGUAAAGGACGCGUAGGCGGGAUAGAAAGUCAGGUGUGAAAUCCUAUGGCUCAACCAUAGAACUGCACUUGAAACUUCUAACCUAGAGUAUGGGAGGGGAAGAGGGAAUUAGUGGUGUAGGGGUAAAAUCCGUAGAUAUCACUAGGAAUACCAAAAGCGAAGGCGAUCUUCUGGAACAAUACUGACGCUAAGGCGUGAAAGCGUGGGGAGCAAACAGGAUUAGAUACCCCCGUAGUC